rnacentral:tRNA from 3 species
GAUAGAUAGCUCAAUGGUAGAGCCACGAAAUUUGUAAUUCGUUUGUUGCGGGUUCGAUUCCCGCUCUAAUCACCA